CCAUGAUGAAGGCCCCUGCCCACAGCUCACCCCUUCCUCUCUGGUCCUGACCAAUCCUGGUGUUUCCCCAUGUGGACCCUCCUGGAGCAGCAUGCCCCUUUCUCUUGGAAAUUGAAACAGGGAGUGAAUGCCGAGUGGUUCCACAAUGUCCGGUGCAGUAAUCUGAUAGCAACAGAAACAUGAAGAAUAAAGAAGUGACUCAAGCAGCUCGCAACAAUGGAGGUUUGCUCCCAGUCUCUGCAACAGACACAUUUCCAAUCACCAGGCUUCUGUGGAUUUAUGCCCUCUUCCUGACUUAAACAGCAGCUCUCAGAAAGCAAUGGCUUUCUGCAUUGAGAUCUGGAGGGUUUGUUAGAAAUUCUGCAAGCAUAUAUCUGAUGUAUCACCAAAUUAGAGAGAAUUGUGAGCAAAGAAGAAAAAUUCUUAAAUUCACAAAUUAUGCAACUGAUUACCCCAACAACAAUUAUUUUUAAUACAUGCAUUUUGCCUUGAUUUUUGCAUUUGGGGGAAGUAAUAUAUGGUAUGAAAACAAGACUAGCAAGCAACAUUUCAUUUGUUCCUUCUUAUGAAGCAGAAUGAGGGAAUGCAUCCAAAACCACUUUGUGAGUCCUAAUGC
ensembl:lncRNA